AUGUCCGGCGAUGCCCAUGUGCGGAAAAGAGGCGCUGACAAACGUCGCAAGAAAGUUGAUGACUCAACAGAGGACACAGUGCCCCUUUUAAUACCUGCUCCCAGCCCUACAAAUGAAGAAAACAUACAUGUCCACAAAGAUGCACAUCUUGGAGGGAACAUUUGCUCAAAAAUUGUUUUCUUUGGCUUGUUUGGCACCCUCGCUAUCCUUGUUGGACUCCUCAUCAUAGAAUUUCACGGAUCUGGAGAUGGUAAGUAAGAGCUAUCAUAAAACAUGUAUUUGAAUUUUGUGCAGUAAUUUGAGUUACAGCCAGAAGUUAGGUAAAAGUUUAGAUCAUUGAUAGCAAACCACCAUCACGAGAAUUUCCAUUUUGGCUUUUAUCGCACUGGAAAAAACACAUUCAAACCAGCGAACUUAACCACUUGUUUGGAUUAAAAGUUUUAAUGGAAAUCAAACUGGAGGUUCGAAAAGUCAAUUCUGUUAAAAAUGCAGCGAAGCUUACCAGCUAUUGUUGCUCACAAAAAUUGCACUCCAAAACUUUAAAUUCAGUAUUUACAGAGUAGUUACUCAAUUUUUUGCACAUUUCCGAAGAUCUUUUCUGCACUCCUCAGACUCAAAAAUCCUCUCUCCUCUGAAAACUUUAAAAUUCCCCGGAUUUUCCUUUGAUUUUGUUUCAUCAAUCACUAAUGGCUUGUAUCGCCAUCAUUUUAGCAUUAAGAUGACAGUUUUUCAGCAAAAGUGGAGGAAUUCAAAAUUUCAUAUCAGAUUUUGUAUUUCAACCAUCAGCUAAAUCAUAGCGUAGAGGCAAUGCUGAGUAAACCUUCUCGUCUCCCCCUUCUACUUUAGUAUAACGCCAUAGAAAAAGAGAAGGAAUGAUAAGAUUAGAAGAAAAAAGCAGAAAUCAGAGGAAGAAGGAAGAGAAAAAAAGAAAUUAGAGGAAUGAGGGGAAAGGAGAAAUCCACAAAACAGUGAAGAUGACUCCUACAAUAAGCACUUGUUAAAAAGAUAACCUGUGAAUAAUAGUAACACUCAAUGAUCAUUUCCACAAUCUUCGGAUCAAUUAAGAAUUUGUCAGUUCAUAAUUUUCCUUGCCUUGUUCUAACAGAGGGUAGUUGGAAUGAGAAUACUGGAAUAAAAUACUGCUAUCAGUUGAUUAGAUCUAAUCGAUCUUCCUCGGCAAUGAAUGGUUAUUAAUUUUUGAAAGGAUACCAAUCUAGUGUCUUAAUGAAAUACUUUGUAUUAAUUAAAAAAAUGACUUGCUUUGACAAUUCAAUGAUAUAUACCUAUUUACUAAUUCUAGUAUUUCGCACCAACACCUAAGUGAUCUCUUCUGCAAAUUAUGAAACUUAAACUGCCUCUCUUUUUUUAAAGUCAUGGAAUCAACUCAUACCUCAUCAAUGAAUUUCAGACAUGAUAGACCUUUUGUCCCAACAUACCUAAUACUU
rnacentral:lncRNA from 1 species